UCUCUGCUCCUUCCAUGUGCUCUCUCUCUCUCUCUCUUUCAAAAUAAAUAAAUAACUUAAAAAAAAAAAACACCUAAGAAAAAAUGGGAGUAUAAAAGACCACAUAACUUCAAAUCCCAUACACUUUACACCUAACCAAAGUAUCUCUCCCAUUUAAGUGGUACCAAAAAGCUAAAGAACAACAGGACAAUGUAAGAACAGAAAUGAUCCAGAAAACAAUAAACAGGAGACUAACUAGGGAGACAAGUGGAGCAAACACUAGACAAGAUAGAAAUCCGAGUAUUGGCGCUCUAGGGUAAUGCUGCCACUAUGUGCCUGACUUGGGAAAAUCCAUUCUCCUCUCUGGGCCUCUAUGUCUCCAUCAGCAAAAUGGAGUCGCGGAUUCAUUGAUCCUUUUUCCAGCUCUGUGUGGUGAUUCUAUUUGGAAAACAGUGAAGCCAAAAAUAUGUGAGCAGGGGGAAAGGCUAUGAUUUUUCAAAUCGCUCCAAUUAAGGAAAUAGCAAGAGUGGAGAAAGUCCCGGGACCGAAACAAGGAAGCCAGAUGAGCCUCCCACGGGGCUCACAAGACAAGCCGUGACCUGUUUGGUGAGCCACACCUGCUCCUCACAUUCCUUCCAAGGGCAGUCCAGGCCUGUGCACACAGCAGUGAAGAGGAAUUCUGAGGGGAACUCCUGGAGGUAGAGACUAAACCCCGGAAUAUAGCUAGUUCUAGAUACUCCUGCCCUCAGCAGAUGCAAGCUGAGUUUCAAAACAUACGUGUGAGGGGUUCUUCCUUAACACAAGUGAAGAAGAAAGGUGUCUCAACCCGCUUGGUGCCUAGGAGAACAGCCUGGGCUAGGAAGCCAAAGACAAAAGUUCUCAACCCUGGCUUUAGCACGCCGAGGAUGUGUGAUUCAGAGCUACCCAAGCUCUUUGGACCUCGGUUUUCUGUCACAUGAAAUGGAUAAGGUCUAUAGGAGAGGAGCAAAUUUAAGAUACCCUGAACUCUAAGUGCUCAUAUUGUUCCAGGCACUUUAUCAAUUACUGCCCUUAAUCUUUGCAUUGAUGAAAGAGAUCUGCAGUUUCAUGCAACACAAAGGGAAACUGCAGAGAGGUAAGGGACUUACCUACUUACCUGCCUAGUGGAGAAGGAUUCGAACUCAGGUUUGUCAUCACUUGGGCUAUUUCCAGGAAGCCCACGUCUCAAAGACGAUUCAUGUACAAAGUGCUUUUGUGAAGUAUUAAGUGCAAUAAAGUGCAAAGACUCUUAGUCCUGAAUUAAUGCAGAAAUUUAGAAAUUAUCCAGAAGGGACAGUCUAUGAAGAAAUUGGCACUUUCAGGGCUUUUUCCUUUGUUUAGCCGCCCACUCAACCCUCAGUCUGUUUAUUUUGUAGGCAGUCAGGUGAGUUUUUUGAAGUGACUCUUGAAACAAUGGCAGUCUGCUGUAGUAAAAAGAAUGCCAGCCUGUCUAGUUUCCAGCUGUGCCACGGGAACAUUCAUCUCCAGAAGUCACUAGCCUGUUCCCUCUGUAAAACGAGGGGCUAGGUUUGAGGGGCCAUGGUCUCUUGAGCUAAGCUGGCUAUUCAGUGACUCAGGGAAGCUGCACGAACGGUCUCACACUAUUACAGUUCCCAUGCUGGCCCCGGCCCCUUCCACUUUGAGGAAGCCAGCCAACAUCCAUCUUCUCCCCCUCCCCCUCCCCCUCCAAGCCCCAUCUGAACCAGAGAGGACUUUGGGGGGGGGGUGGGGGCGGCGCCCUAGCAGGCGUGCUUACAGAUUUAGGGAUCCGCCAGCCACUGCCCCAAGCCGGAAAGACCGCUGCUGAAAGAUACCACCCCCUUUUCUUACCUGUGUUUCAACCUUUGUGGGGCAGGCGGAAACCACAGGGCAGGAGUGGGAGGAGGCAUGAUGGAUUCCCGGGGAAGAAACUGAAAUCCUGACUUAGCUAUUUGCUGUCAGGGGUAGCAACCACUCCCUCCUUUGUGCACACCCAUUGUUGCCCCAGUUUCCCAGUAAUUACCCUAACUUGUUUACCUGCAGGCUCCCCAACAGUGAGUGCCCUUCUAACACACUCCACAUAAAUGAAUGCGAAGGGGUGAAAAUGAGGAAGUAAGCAUGAAGGAGCCAGGUUGCCAGUUUUUACAGCUAAUAGGAAGCAGAGGUUUUUAAAGUGUAUUAUUGGUGAAAUUUUAGGAGAACAACCUGGGUGCGUGCCACCCCCGCACUUCCGCGGCCAGAGAGUAAGGCCCACUACAGACUAGCUGUAACUACUUGGAAGCUUCCUUUAACCUGUCUGGGAGCCACAAUACUUGGCAAUUAAGUAAACUGCCAGGGGCUAAAUGGACAGAAUACCACUACUUGAGGCAGGGCAGGCAUUCAAAGAACUACCGCAUUUCUUUCUCCACCGGAGGUUCUUGAGAGAACCUAAAACUGGUCCCCUUUCCCUACAACAGCAGCUCGUUUUAGCCGCCUCCUUCAGACCCACCCUUAUGCAGUCUGAGGGAGGCUUCCAAUCUUAUUUAGAAAAGCCAGUAUUUAAACCAGCCUGUUAAUGCAUCUCAGGAAAACAGGAGAGGCAAAAUGAAAUGCCUGCUCCUGCAAAAAAUAAAAUAAAAAACGUGUUAGGAUUUGAAAUGAGAAAUCUGAGCCCAGGGAAAUGAGAGGACCUGAACGUGAUGUAAACCUGGAGCGAGUUUUCACAAACUCCCAUCUUUUGGUCUGUGCCUUUUCCAUAUUUUAUUACAUUUGUGUUUUUAAAAAAAUCACAUUAGCAUUAUCAACGACAAAAUAUGUACAAACAUUUUACAAAAGAAACAUUACUAAUAUCAGCUAUAAUAAGGGCGGGCUGAAGCACAGACGCGGAGUUUCGGGGGCCGAGUCUGCCCUCAAAAGACAUCUCAAAUGUGUUCAGGCAGUUGAGACAGGCUUCUUUCCCGGUGACAAGCACAUGUGGUCGGUAAUACAAACGACAGCAAAUGAGGACAGUACACGGGCUCAGUUGGCGAAAUCCUCUUCUCACCAGGAAGGCCACGACACAAGUGGAGCUAAUCAAAUAACUUAACCCAGGACGGUAAAAGCGCCGUUCCCCCCACCUAAGCGCAUUUAAGCCUUCAACAUCGAUUUCAAACGACGCUGGACUCUAAUACAGACACGUGCUUCUUAGAACCCUGCGCCACACUUUAACUCUUCGAGCCAGGAGAUCGGUAGAGCGU